rnacentral:rRNA from 1 species
UGGGGAAUAUUGGACAAUGGGGGAAACCCUGAUCCAGCCAUGCCGCGUGUGUGAAGAAGGCCUUUUGGUUGUAAAGCACUUUAAGCAGUGAAGAAGACUCCGUGGUUAAUACCCACGGACGAUGACAUUAGCUGCAGAAUAAGCACCGGCUAACUCUGUGCCAGCAGCCGCGGUAAUACAGAGGGUGCAAGCGUUAAUCGGAAUUACUGGGCGUAAAGGGAGCGUAGGUGGCUCGAUAAGUCAGAUGUGAAAUCCCCGGGCUCAACCUGGGAACUGCAUCUGAUACUGUUGAGCUAGAGUAUGUGAGAGGAAGGUAGAAUUCCAGGUGUAGCGGUGAAAUGCGUAGAGAUCUGGAGGAAUACCGAUGGCGAAGGCAGCCUUCUGGCAUAAUACUGACACUGAGGCUCGAAAGCGUGGGUAGCAAACAGGAUUAGAUACCCCUGUAGUCCCUGAGCGGGCUGGCAAGGCGCAU